GCAGUCGAGCGGAACGAGAUAUCUGAACCUUCGGGGAACGAUAACGGCGUCGAGCGGCGGACGGGUGAGUAAUGCCUAGGAAAUUGCCCUGAUGUGGGGGAUAACCAUUGGAAACGAUGGCUAAUACCGCAUGAUGCCUACGGGCCAAAGAGGGGGACCUUCGGGCCUCUCGCGUCAGGAUAUGCCUAGGUGGGAUUAGCUAGUUGGUGAGGUAAGGGCUCACCAAGGCGACGAUCCCUAGCUGGUCUGAGAGGAUGAUCAGCCACACUGGAACUGAGACACGGUCCAGACUCCUACGGGAGGCAGCAGUGGGGAAUAUUGCACAAUGGGCGCAAGCCUGAUGCAGCCAUGCCGCGUGUGUGAAGAAGGCCUUCGGGUUGUAAAGCACUUUCAGUCGUGAGGAAGGUAGUGUAGUUAAUAGCUGCAUUAUUUGACGUUAGCGACAGAAGAAGCACCGGCUAACUCCGUGCCAGCAGCCGCGGUAAUACGGAGGGUGCGAGCGUUAAUCGGAAUUACUGGGCGUAAAGCGCAUGCAGGUGGUUUGUUAAGUCAGAUGUGAAAGCCCGGGGCUCAACCUCGGAAUUGCAUUUGAAACUGGCAGACUAGAGUACUGUAGAGGGGGGGUAGAAUUUCAGGUGUAGCGGUGAAAUGCGUAGAGAUCUGAAGGAAUACCGGUGGCGAAGGCGGCCCCCUGGGACAGAUACUGACACUCAGAUGCGAAAGCGUGGGGAGCAAACAGGAUUAGAUACCCUGGUAGUCCACGCCGUAAACGAUGUCUACUUGGAGGUUGUGGCCUUGAGCCGUGGCUUUCGGAGCUAACGCGUUAAGUAGACCGCCUGGGGGAGUACGGUCGCAAGAUUAAAACUCAAAUGAAUUGACGGGGGCCCGCACAAGCGGUGGAGCAUGGUGGUUUAAUUCGAUGCAACGCGAAGAACCUUACCUACUCUUGACAUCCAGAGAACUUUCCAGAAGAUGGAUUGGUGCCUUCGGGAACUCUGAGACAGGUGCUGCAUGGCUGUCGUCAGCUCGUGUUGUGAAAUGUUGGGUUAAGUCCCGCAACGAGCGCAACCCUUAUCCUUGUUUGCCAGCGAGUAAUGUCGGGAACUCCAGGGAGACUGCCGGUGAUAAACCGGAGGAAGGUGGGGACGACGUCAAGUCAUCAUGGCCCUUACGAGUAGGGCUACACACGUGCUACAAUGGCGCAUACAGAGGGCGGCCAACUUGCGAAAGUGAGCGAAUCCCAAAAAGUGCGUCGUAGUCCGGAUUGGAGUCUGCAACUCGACUCCAUGAAGUCGGAAUCGCUAGUAAUCGUGGAUCAGAAUGCCACGGUGAAUACGUUCCCGGGCCUUGUACACACCGCCCGUCACACCAUGGGAGUGGGCUGCAAAAGAAGUAGGUAGUUUAACUUCGGGGGACGC
rnacentral:rRNA from 1 species